rnacentral:rRNA from 1 species
AUUGAACGCUGGCGGCAGGCUUAACACAUGCAAGUCGAGCGGGGGAAGGUAGCUUGCUACCGGACCUAGCGGCGGACGGGUGAGUAAUGCUUAGGAAUCUGCCUAUUAGUGGGGGACAACAUCUCGAAAGGGAUGCUAAUACCGCAUACGUCCUACGGGAGAAAGCAGGGGAUCUUCGGACCUUGCGCUAAUAGAUGAGCCUAAGUCGGAUUUGCUAGUUGGUGGGGUAAAGGCCUACCAAGGCGACGAUCCGUAGCGGGUCUGAGAGGAUGGUCCGCCACACUGGGACUGAGACACGGGCCAGAAUCCUACGGGAGGCAGCAGUGGGGAAUAUUGGACAAUGGGGGGAACCCUGAUCCAGCCAUGCCGCGUGUGUGAAGAAGGCCUUGUGGUUGUAAAGCACUUUAAGCGAGGAGGAGGCUACUUUAGUUAAUACCUAGAGAUAGUGGACGUUACUCGCAGAAUAAGCACCGGCUAACUCUGUGCCAGCAGCCGCCGUAA